AGCAUGUUCUUGCGGGAACAUAGGAGCCAUCAGUGAGAUACCACUCUUUUAAUGUUAGAUUUCUAACCUUGAACCAUUAUCUGGUCAAGGAACAGUUUCAGGCGGGCAGUUUGACUGGGGCGGUCGCCUCCUAAACGGUAACGGAGGCGUACAAAGGUUUCCUCUGAACGAAUAGAAAUCGUAUCUAGAGUAUAAAGGCAUAAGGAAGCUUGACUGUGAGACCUACAAGUCGAGCAGGGACGAAAGUCGGUCUUAGUGAUCUGACGGUACUGAGUGGAAAGGCCGUCACUCAACGGAUAAAAGUUACUCUAGGGAUAACA
rnacentral:rRNA from 1 species